rnacentral:lncRNA from 1 species
GGAGAAACAAAUUUAGGAAUUUUACAGCCAAAAACAAUUCCCAGAACCAAACCACAGGACUUGUCAAGUAAAGACAUUUGGAAGAUCCUACUGGGCACAGACACCGCAGCACAUUCAGGCAGCCUUGGGGACCAGAUCCUGGAUGCUGCUGCAGGAGUUGCUGCCCCUGCACCCUUUUGGAAUCCAAUGUGGUGGUGGUUGCUGUCCUCAACUCCUCAUGUUUUCCAAAUAUAUUCUAGGUGGUGCCCACUUCUUGGUAUCACUAGUUACCGAUUCACAGUCUGAAGAGCAGAGCCUAGACCCAUGCGCUAACUGCAAGGAGCCUGGAAAGAUUCCCCACAGAUUCUCAAAUAGACCUCUUGGAAUGGAGAUUAUACAUGAAGAACAGAUCUAUUCUUCUGUUGGUUGCCACUAGCAACAAGAAAAUCAAGCUGAAGAAAUUUUUAUCAAAUGAAUACUGUUUGUUACCUCCCUGAUCAUUUACUCUGUUACACUGAAAAGUAGGUUGCCUGCUACAAAUAGAAGUUGCUGGCCAGUUAGCACAAGUUUACAC